GCGGAUAUAGUUGAACGGUACAAUCUCUCCUUGCCAAGGAGAAGACGCGGGUUCGAUUCCCGCUAUCCGCC
rnacentral:tRNA from 4 species